AUUACACCUACUGUGUGAGGCCGAAGCCCGGACAUAGAAGAAGGGUCAUAUCCUGCUGUACAAAACAAAGUGUUAAAGAUAAGAGCUUACUGUUAGCAUCAGUCACCAACCUGAAGACAGACAACUCCAACCUCCCAUCACAGAGGAAAAACUUCUGUGGAGGACAGCUGCAGCGGGACACUCAGGGAGGCUGAGCUUUCUCCGUUCAUCUUCUUUUUUUUAAAGGUUAAGAAAAUAUCUCCUGCAGUCUUGCAGACAGAAAUCCUCUUAAGUCAUUCACACACUUCUCAUUCUUGCUUGAUUUCUGGAAUUUUCCACUGGUGCCAGAAGCUCCAUCUGGUGGGUGUGUACACUAACUGCAUAACUAAAAGGGAAUUAACUAUUUCCUUAGCAAUUUCUGCAUAGCAGUGUAAGUUUGUACAUUGUGUAAUUUCUCCGAUGCAAUGUAAAAUACAAGACAGACAAAUUCUGGCUGCUCCAGGAACCAUAAUCCCUUUUUUCUUCAUGAACAACCCGUUACCUUGCACUCUACUGACAAUUUCUGCUUGGUUUUCUUAUUUUGAUAACACAGGUUGAUGGUUUUUAAAAAUAAGCGUUAGCCAACUCAGAAUAUUUUCUGAAGAAAAAGCUUUUGAAAACACACACAAGAAAAGCAAUUCUGGUGAUCUCGACUGCAUUCUCAAAAGCAGCUUUACAUUGCAUCCAUUCUCUAGGGCAUUCUAUACUUCAGUGCAUAGGUAAUUUUUAAUUAGAGGCACCAGCAGCUCAAGAAGUAGGCUUCCUCACCUACUGCCAUCUUUAAUAUCUUUCAUUGCUGUUCACAGUCUUCAAACAUAAACAUUUAUAUGCGUCCAUAUAUGUGUAAUGAAAUCAAUAUGUAAUACACAUGCUCAGUACAAUAGCCUUGUUAGUUUAGGGCUAUUUCUUAAAGAUUUGUUUGAAAGGCACUAAAGCCUGCCUACCUUACAGCAAUUUGAAAUUGAGACUGGAGGUCAAUGAAGCACGAAGGAUAUUAUCUGCCUACACCAUGAUAUCCACACUUCAGCAGGCAGGAAAAAAAGGCCACAUGAAUAUGCUUUACCAGUUCAAAAUGUGAUCUUCGUGUGGAUUGUAGCUAAGCACGAACAACCCCAUAUCGAAAAUUUUGGAAACAGAAGCAUGUUUCAUUUAGAUUUUCAAUCUAAAGCUCAAAAAAAAAAAGUAAAAUGUUCAAAAAUAAAGCAUGCAAUUAAUA